CGAAACAUUGGUUACCGUACGAUCACUGAAGUUAAGCAACGUCGUGUCUAGUCAGUACCUAGAUGGGUGACCGCUUGAGAAUACCAUGUGCU